UACACAGCUUGCGAUUUGCUUGAUGUA
rnacentral:sRNA from 1 species